UGGGGAAUCUCGCGCAAUGGGCGAAAGCCUGACGCAGCGACGCCGCGUGAGGGAAGAAGGCCUUCGGGUUGUAAACCUCUUUCAGGAGGGACGAAGCUACUCGGGUUAAUAGCCCAGAGGGUGACGGUACGUCCAGAAGAAGCCCCGGCUAACUACGUGCCAGCAGCCGCGGUAAUACGUAGGGGGCAAGCGUUGUCCGGAUUUAUUGGGCGUAAAGCGCGUGUAGGCGGCCAGAUAAGUCCGCUGUGAAAACUCGAAGCUCAACUUCGAGCUGUCGGUGGAAACUAUUUGGCUAGAGUCCGGAAGAGGAGAGUGGAAUUCCUGGUGUAGCGGUGAAAUGCGCAGAUAUCAGGAAGAACACCCGUGGCGAAGGCGGCUCUCUGGGACGGAACUGACGCUGAGACGCGAAAGCGUGGGGAGCGAACAG
rnacentral:rRNA from 1 species